rnacentral:rRNA from 1 species
UAAAAACAUCGGUUCUCGUCCGGUCACCGAAGUUAAGCAUCUUCGGGCGCGGUCAGUUCUUGGGAGGGUGACCACCUGGGAACACCGC